rnacentral:pre_miRNA from 1 species
GUACUGCUCACUCCGUCCAACAAAAGAUGUCUCAAAUUUGUUAAAAUUUGGAUAUAUCUAGACAUGACUUAGUGUAUAGAUGCAUUUAAAUUUAGUUAAAGUUGAGAUAUCCUUUGUUGAAUGAAGAAAGUAUUAA